rnacentral:rRNA from 1 species
GUGGGGAAUUUUGGACAAUGGGCGCAAGCCUGAUCCAGCAAUGCCGCGUGCAGGAAGAAGGCCUUCGGGUUGUAAACUGCUUUUGUACGGAACGAAACGGUCCUGGUUAAUACCUGGGGCUAAUGACGGUACCGUAAGAAUAAGCACCGGCUAACUACGUGGCAGCAGCCGCGGUAAGACGUAGGGUGCGAGCGUUAAUCGGAAUUACUGGGCGUAAAGCGUGCGCAGGCGGUGCUGGAAGACAGGCGUGAAAUCCCCGGGCUCAACCUGGGAAUUGCGCUUGUGACUGCAGUGCUGGAGUACGGCAGAGGGGGAUGGAAUUCCGCGUGUAGCAGUGAAAUGCGUUGAUAUGCGGAGGAACACCGAUGGCGAAGGCAGUCCCCUGGGCCUGUACUGACGCUCAUGCACGAAAGCGUGGGGAUCAAACAGGAUUAGAAACCCGUGUAGUCC